GACGAACGCUGGCGGCGUGCUUAACACAUGCAAGUCGAACGGAAAGGCCCUGCUUUUGUGGGGUGCUCGAGUGGCGAACGGGUGAGUAACACGUGAGUAACCUGCCCUUGACUUUGGGAUAACUUCAGGAAACUGGGGCUAAUACCGGAUAGGAGCUCCUGCUGCAUGGUGGGGGUUGGAAAGUUUCGGCGGUUGGGGAUGGACUCGCGGCUUAUCAGCUUGUUGGUGGGGUAGUGGCUUACCAAGGCUUUGACGGGUAGCCGGCCUGAGAGGGUGACCGGCAACAUGGGGACGAGGAGCCGGCCCAGACUCCUACGGGGGGCAGGAGUGGGGAAUAGUGCACAAUGGGCGGAAGCGUGAGGCAGCAACUCCGCGUGCGGGAUGACGGCCUGCGGGUUGGAAACCGCGUUCGCCUGUGACGAAGCGUGAGUGACGGUAAUGGGUAAAGAAGCACGGGCUAACUACGU
rnacentral:rRNA from 1 species